rnacentral:rRNA from 1 species
UACGGAGGGUGCAAGCGUUAAUCGGAAUUACUGGGCGUAAAGCGCACGCAGGUGGCUGAGUCAGUCGAUUGUGAAAGCCCUGGGCUUAACCUGGGAAUUGCAGUCGAUACUACUCAGCUAGAGUAUGGGAGAGGGCAGUGGAAUUCCCGGUGUAGCGGUGAAAUGCGUAGAGAUCGGGAGGAACACCAGAGGCGAAAGCGGCGACCUGGACAAUGACUGACACUCAACUGCGAAAGCGUGGGGAGCAGACAGG